rnacentral:tRNA from 1 species
GGAAAGUUGCCAGAGUGGUCGAAUGGGGCGGACUCGAAAUCCGCUGAACGGCCCGUCCGUUCCGGGGGUUCGAAUCCCUCACUUUCCGCCA